rnacentral:rRNA from 1 species
UACAGAGGUCUCAAGCGUUGUUCGGAUUCAUUGGGCGUAAAGGGUGCGUAGGCGGCGCGGUAAGUCGGGUGUGAAAUCUCGGAGCUUAACUCCGAAACUGCAUUCGAUACUGCCGUGCUUGAGGACUGGAGAGGAGACCGGAAUUUACGGUGUAGCGGUGAAAUGCGUAGAUAUCGUAAGGAAGACCAGUGGCGAAGGCGGGUCUCUGGACAGUUCCUGACGCUGAGGCACGAAGGUCAGGGGGAGCAAACGGG